rnacentral:rRNA from 1 species
GACGAACGCUGGCGGCGUGCUUAACACAUGCAAGUCGAACGGAAAGGCCCUGCUUUUGUGGGGUGCUCGAGUGGCGAACGGGUGAGUAACACGUGAGUAACCUGCCCUUGACUUUGGGAUAACUUCAUGAAACUGGGGCUAAUACCGGAUAGGAGCUCCUGCUGCAUGGUGGGGGUUGGAAAGUUUCGGCGGUUGGGGAUGGACUCGCGGCUUAUCAGCUUGUUGGUGGGGUAGUGGCUUACCAAGGCUUUGACGGGUAGCCGGCCUGAGAGGGUGACCGGCCACAUUGGGACUGAGAUACGGCCCAGACUCCUACGGGAGGCAGCAGUGGGGAAUAUUGCACAAUGGGCGGAAGCCUGAUGCAGAAACGCCGCGUGCGGGAUGACGGCCUUCGGGUUGUAAACCGCUUUCGCCUGUGACGAAGCGUGAGUGACGGUAAUGGGUAAAGAAGCACCGGCUAACUACGUG